rnacentral:lncRNA from 1 species
GAAACUCAUUAAAUGGAGAUACUAUUAGGAAUGCCUCUGCCAGUCAAUCCUUCCUCACUAGAAGGAUAAAGCAGAGUGUAUGGCAUCUUCACAGGCCCGUAUCGGUUUCUCAAUGACUCAUCAUUGUUCCUUUUGAUGAGCUUUGCCUCAAUUUCAGCCAACUUCCUUCCAAACCUCUUGAAAGCUUCUAAUGGCUGUGAAUCAAAAGUCCAAGCCUCACCUUCAUUUCUCUGUCCAAGGUAUUGCUCAUCAGAAGCAUGCCUUGACAAGACCUCUAUGAUUGUAAGGUCAGUUAGGGUAUCAUUUUUUGGUGUGAUUGUCCUCAGAUACGCCUUCUGAAAGUUCUUAGAAAGCUCGUCAUACUCAGCAGACCCUUUCUUAGGCAUGUGUCUCCGGCUCUUAGUUGGUCGGUUAAGUAUAUAUCCUCCAUAUGGGUAUUGACCAAAAUUAACAGCUGCAUGAUGUGCUGAAGCAAUCCAUAUGAGGAUAGUGCAAGCUUCAAUCAACUCUGUACAAGUUUGCAUCUUAAACCACCAUGUAGCAUUCUUCAAAUCACCAUGACCCACCUCUACAACUUCUCUCCAAAAUGCUUGCAGUUCAGAAUCUUGCGCAACAGCAACAUCUGACUUGUAGUAGAAAUUCACAUAUUCUUCAACCCAUGACUUGAUAGCAUCCCAUAUCUCUAGUCCAUCAGCAGCAUAAGGGUAGUCCUCUAUCAGAAGGCGAAUUCCAUGUGGGGAAGUUGGAUCCUCAACAGCCACUCCUCUAGAUAUAGCAUGCAAGGAAGAUAUCAUUAACAUAAAAAAUACUUUUGACAUCAAUAUCUUUUUUACCAAGAUUAUUAAAUUUCUAUUGUAGUCACAAUCCUAGCCAUUAUAGAGAAUUGCGGUAAAAUAUAGUUGAUGCCUUAUCUUAGAUCAUGGUUACUAGCAUUAUUUCAAUCCUUUUUUAACUAAUGAAUGAGUAGUAACUAAUUUUUUUUUGAAGGUUACCUUUUAAGUAGAUCAUUAGGUAGUCCUUGAUCUGGGAAAACCCAAUCCUUAUAUAAUACAGAAGACAGUUCUAUAGAAUGACUUCCCAAUAAGAAUGUUGAUUCUAUAAUACCCUCUGCAUUUACCAAGACACUCCUUGCAAGUGCAUUAAUGUUCAUUGUGUCACGAUAAUGUGGAAGCAGAAGUUUGUGAAUAGGGUGAACCACACUAAGAUGCCUAUUAGUUGCUAUGAUGAAUGGCUCAACAACAGCGUGCGUGUUCAACCUGUUACACAUGUAGAUAUUCAUGAAUCAAUCUUAGAUAUAUAAAAUUAAAUAUGUUUGAUUCUAUAAAAAUUCAUCAACAUAAUUGUACCAGUGGCUGACAAGUUGGUGAACAGAAGAGUCAUUUACAAUAACAUAAGCCUUGGCAAGGAGCCAAAUAGAAGAUUCAACACCUUCCUUUGCAGGCAAGUAAACAUCACUAACAGGACCAAAGCUAUCAGCCUGAGGAUGUGGGCUACUUAGCUCAAUGGCUAAUGGCUUCAAAGUUCCAUCAUUUUGUAAGAAAAUGAUAGUUCUAGUAGCAUAUGCCUUUGUUGUAUCAGCUGCAUUUAUUUUCCUCAGAUAUGGAUAUAUUGAGUCAUGGUGAUCAAGUAUGUAAAGCCUGUUGUUUUGGAUAGCCUAUUGAACAAAAUAUAAUUUAGUCAUUGCAAUUAUUUGAAUAAUAAAUAACCACAAAAUAACAUUGUCAAAGUUAAAUUAUAUGCAUAGUAUUAAUGUUAAACUAUGUCAUUACUUCUUCUACAGUGACCCCAUCCAUGUUUAGCUCUAACUGUUCUUCGGUUAUUGUGCUCGUAUUAUCACCAUAAUCGGUAUUUAGCUUGCUCUUUGGUGGGAACUCCUACAUUAUAUAUAACAAGUAAUACUGAAAUUAAGAUUGAAAAUAUAGUAUGUAAAGUGGACAAAAUAGAGUUUAAUUUUGUGUUUGUAAAGAAAUCGUUAAACUAUUAAGUUUACCUGAAUUCUUUUUAUAAUGUGUGGAUUCACACCAGCAAUCAUCUCCCUUGCAAAUUCUUCAUCAGUCAUCCACGCAGACUGAUUAACUGCUCAAAAUAAGAGCAUUGCAAAUGAUCUGUAAUAUUUUUAUUUAUUCUAUGAAAAUAUAUUGCUAGGACUAACUAAUAGAUACCUUGAAUCACUUUAGGCGGUGGAAACUUUAGGGCCGAUUCACCAUCAGUUCGGAAGAGUUCCUUGAAAAAUGGUAUGGGGCUAAGUUUGCUAAGUAUACUAGUAGGUAAUUUAAUCCCACCAUCAUAAAAUGAUCGCACAUCAUCAAAGCUAUUAAAUUCUGGCUUAUUGAGUUGUAAUGUAAUUGCAGAUUGUAAUUGAGGUAUGAAACUUUGAGAAGCUGAUUUGAGUAUGUAAACAAGAAAAUCUGAAGACUUCAAGUGACCAAAUGCUUCAUCUCUUGGAACGUAAACAAAGUCGUCCCGUCUCUCACUUUUAGGAUCUGUUCACAUACAAAAUUGAAGACACGCAUUAGCAAGUACUAGCAAAAAGAUCGAUAACUUUAAAGUCAUAAUAGAGAAAAUGUUUUGAUCACAGCACCAUUAAUUUAAUAUGGAACUUUAAAAUUAUAACCUUUUUUAGCUGGUUUCCUGCCGGUUCUGCCCCUUCGAGGGUAAGGCAAGGUGUCGGAUCCUCCAAUAACGGGACGAGCCAAGUGUGCGUACUUGUCAGGAUCACCCAAGUCAUUGUAAACAUCGUAGUCAUAGAUUCUAUCGUGUUCCUUGCGCUGACCCGUUCCAUCUCCUCUUAAAGUCUUCAAUUCUUCUUCUCUAUAGUAGACUAAUGGAGCUGGUGUUUCACUUGGAAGGUAUGUCUAUAUUUUUAUUUAUUUGAUGGUGUAAGAUUUCAGGAAAUAUAGUUCAUAUUUAAAGGUCUUGCUAACAAGUGCCCUAAUGUUAAGAUUAAAAUAUUGAAACCAGUUGAUAGCUUUCAUGUAGAAAAAAUUGUUUUUUGAUGUUCCAAUGUGUUAACAUUUCACUAUAUUUAACAUGCACGAUAAAUAUGGUAUAUUCAUUACCUUGUUGGCGAAGAAGAUGCGUUUCGUUUUAUACUUGUCAGCACUGUAAAUCCAUGAGUUGCAUACAAAGUUGAUGGUUCCAUGGUUUGGAAUAUCUUCAAGUGUCAAACUUACAAGGAAGAAUUCUCGUGUCAUGUUACUCUCAAUAUAAAAUGCUCCUGGAACUCCCAUGUCACUAUUCCAUUCAAAAUGAAUAUCAUAUGCAGACUGUCCUGCUCCCAAAAUUGGCAUGGAAGUAACAAAACCUUCAAUAAAUGUUUUCUCUCCGACUUUCCCUUUUCCGCUUCCUACAAAUAUGUUACAAGUUUGAUUUACAAUUUCAGCAAUGAUAAUACUCCCUCCGUCUCACAUCAGGUGUCACAUUUGAGUUUUACACAAUUAUUAAAAAAAUGAUUAAUAAUUUUGAUUUUAAUGAUAAAUAUGUAUCAUUUACUAACAUACUUUUAUUAAUUAUAAUUAGUGGAAUAUUUUUAAAUGAUUCAAAUACAAUAGAUACAGAUAUGUUAAAAGAAAAUAAUAAUAAAUAUUGUAUUAUUAGUGUUAUAAAAGGGACAAAUAAAUUAAGAAAAAAAACAUAUAAUUUAAGACGGAGGGGAAAAAACAUCUAAUUUGAAACGGGGGAGUAACAUUCAAGAUUAAUUUAUGUCAAAGUAACAAAUUACUCUUUUUGUGCCAAAAAAAUAUUAAUUCUUUCCACCUGAAUAAAGUGUUUUAUAUAGGAGUUGAUAGUUGAUUAUAUCUUUCAUGCUAUAAAUAAGUUUUUGGUCCCUUUAAAUAUCUCAAAUUUCAGUUUUUAUAGUUCAAAAUAUUUUCAGCAAAAUUUGGGUUUGCUAAAAAUAACUUAGAAGGAAAAACUUGCCAAAUUGUUUUAGAGAGACUAUAUAUAAAAUUUUAGAUAUUUAUACAGUAUCCCUAAAAAAAAAAAGAAAUUUAUACGGUAGAAUUAUUUUUUUUAACCCAUUUUGUAAUGAUAAAACAAAAGGGAAACUGAAUUGAAUCUUAUGGACUAAGGGUCAAAUAAUAGAGGAAAAAAAAAAUCAAAUUAUUGAUAAGUAUUAAUAAAAAAAUUAAACCUCACAAAGAUUAAUUUAAUGUAUCAAACUAAUAACUGAAGACUAACAUAUCAUAUGAUUUUCUAUGUAAAAUGUUACCAGAUCGAAAAUCAUAUGAUAUGUUAAUGAGGUAAAUCAAGACUAACUUCUGAUGUGUGUGUAUAAACUUCAAUUCAUUUGUAAACUUUAUUAAUGUUUACUCGUUAAAGCGUUAUUGAGCAGCGCAACACUGUCCAAAUACUAUAUGUGUUCAGUGUUGUAAAUUUAUGACGAGCAUUAUGUAGUCUUAGAAUGAGAAAUGAAUAAGUUUAUUACCAUCGGCAGUGGUAGCACUGAUCAACCUGAGAGCCACAGAACGGCCGACAAAGGCCCCGGCGGUGUCAAUUAGAGUGCCGGCGACACCACCAACAGCCUUGAUUCCAGUUUUGACCAAAUUAGUGGUGUUUUUAGUUGCACCAUUGAUGGCAUUGAUGUCGAAAACAUUUGUUUGCAUCAACACAACUGUGCCCUUCACCUUUUGGCCUCUCUUAAGCAUACUUUUGAACCCUGAAUACAUCUUAAUUUGCUGCUUAAAUUUUUUUUUUUGCAAAUUAAUGAGAGAAAAGUUUGUGGCUGGCAAGAUGCAACCAUCUCAUUAUUUAUAGGGCCAAAAUUAAGCUUCUGAUUAAGAACAAAUAAUUUUUUUUUAAUUGAUUAAUUGAUCAUUGACAUCGUGCAAAAACUAUUAGUAAUAGGCUAAUCGUGGAAUAUAAAAUAAUGAUGUAUUUUAUUAUAGAAAGAAGAUAACAAUAUGUGUUACACAAUCAUAUUAUGACAAAUGGAUUUUUGAACUAUAGUUAAUUAGAUUCUAACGCGUACACCAAUAGUAAUAGGCUAAUCGUGCAAAAAUUAUUUCCUGAUACGAGGUCGUCUUUCUUUCCAUUGUUAAUAAUAUCCCUUCUCACAACUCACAUUCACAUACCGUAACCAUGGUUCAAUUUAAUAAUAUUAAUAAUAAGAGGAUGUACAAGAGUUAAUUAAACUAUGCAAGUGCAACUCCUAUAUGAUUUUAAGAUGAACAUAACUCAACUCUUACAAAUAUGAUUUGUAAGGUGAGGGGUUUCCCACUUAUAAUAAACUCAUUUUAUCUUCAUUUAAUAUAGAACUUUUACACUGCUCAUAUAUGUUUAAGAAUGGACGACAGGAGUGUGACUCGAGUUGUAUGAAAAUAGAUGAUCAAAUAGAUUUUAUUACGACUAUAAUACAUAAUGAAGGUUGUCCCCGUGAGCAUACUCAGUUGAUAGGGACAUACAUAAUUAUAUGCAGGGGUUGGGGUUUGAACCCAGACACCCCACUCAUUCACCUUGAAAAAGGUGAAUUCUAGCCACUAGAUUAAAAAAAAAAAAAUUAAGAAUUCAUUUUCAGGUAUAGUUUUAUCAUCAAGUGUGAAACUAUUAAUAUAUGCAAUGUUAAAAUAUAAAAUAAAUUUGUUUUUAUUUUUUAUCGCAAGAUUUAUCAUUAAACUUUAUUUAGUUGUUUUGACUCAUUCCUUUUUCUAUAUUUUAGCUGUUUUAGUUGAAUGUAGUUCCGUUAGAACUAAAAUUUAAGUUUUUUUUUUUUUUUUUUUUUGGAAAGUUCCAUGAAAAAGAAAUUAGUUUUUUUUUUUUCUUUUUUUCUAGUACUGCAAACUUUAAAAAUAUAAUUUUUCUGAAUGCUUUUGUAUGAAUGAAUUUUGAGGAGUGUUAGAAACACUCUCUUUUUAACACCUACAUUGAUAUUUAAUUUACUCUUUUAUUGAAUGAAUUCAUUGAUAUUUACUAUUUUAUUGAAUAAAUUAAAUGUGUAUUAUACAUUUUAAAAUGAGUUUCACAUAAAAUGGUGGAUUCCAUAGAUUUCGUCAAAUAAAAUAGUGGAUGUUAGAAAGAAUGUUCAACUCUAUGGUCUAUUCACUAAUAUUUUCACACCCCACAAAAUAUUUCUAAUACAAAAUAUUUUGUCAAGAUUGAAUAAACUUUCAAAAAAACUUGAGCUAAAUUUUCCAGAAGAAAAAACUGUUGAUUGGAAUACACGGGGAAUUUUUUUUUGGAAUUUUAGUCACGCUUCAAAUGUGGUUAAACUGCCGAAUUUGUAAAACGUAAUACUUGGAAAAAGAUUUCCAAAAUUUUAUCCAUAGUUGCUAAAAAUCCUGAGGAAAAUUCAAUGAAUCUGCCGUUUAGUAUCAUUUCAAGAAACUUUUAAUCAAUUGUAAAAAACUUUUACUUACCAGAAAUAUUUUGUCCGAGUUAAAGUCAAAUGACAAAAAGAUAAAAUUAACAAUAGAAUUUUUUAUAGUUUGUAGGGAGGAGAUGUAUGAAUGCAGGGGUAAAGAUUAAAGUGAAUUUUUAUUUAAACUAUAGAGCAAAAGCAAAAGCCCGCGACAUGUGCAAUGAGGCUAAGGCUUUGUAGAGCAAGAGUGAUUUUUUAUUUUUUCACAAGAGUUGUUAGGGCAAUGAGGACUACCCUACUCUUCCUACCCCACAAAGUAUAUAACAUGUCUAAUUUAUUUCCAACGACUUUAAAUUAUUGAGGAAUAGGAGUUUAGUCCUUUCAUCAUUUCAGUUUUUGGGAUCGAAAAAUUGAAAAAGUCAAAAUUUGAAUUUUUUUUUUAAUGUACUAGUUUUUCUAGUCCAUACGAAGAGAUACAUAUCAUGUGAAAUUCACACAUAAGACUGUAAGAUUAUAAGUUUGAAGCGGACAAAGAUGUUCAAACUAAAAAUAUUGAUAUUAGUCAUUGAAAUAGACCAUGCAGACAAGAAAAUAUUAGUUUUUGAAAGAAAGAAAAAACAAUGUUACGAGGAACUCAAAUUUUGAGUUUUUGAUAAAUUAAAAAAUUUGAAAAAAUGGGAGUAUUUGUUAACAUUUCCCUAUAAAUGAAAACGAUAAAACCAAACAUUUUAAAAGAAUAUAGUAGUAUGAUUUUGAGGGGUAGGUAGAAUAAUUCUUCUGGAGCGAUAAUGCUAUGAGAAGAGCAACCAAUUGCAUAUACUUGGAUAUGGUUUGGAAGGAGCACAUUUUCCAACUCAUUAAUUAUUUUAGAGAGUGACUAAUUUUUUUUUUUGUUAGACAUGGUUACACGUAAGUACAAGUUUAGUUAGGGGUGCCCUACUUUCGUGUGGUGAAUUCGAUGAUUUUUGACUUUGGAUCGCGUGUUCAAUUUCAUCAUUCUUGGAGAGAAUGAGACUUUUUAUCUUGCACAACUCUCGAGUCUCCUUCUAAUUAACUUUAUAAACUUAUUUUUGAUCAUAUCUUUGGGGCUUGCAUACUUAGAAGUGUUUGUUUUGAUUUGUAGUUUUUCUUUGGGCUUCGACCAUCUUUUGUACCAAAACAAGAGAUUACUUUUUGCGUCCAAUGAGUUUCUCACGCACCAUAUUUUUUUUUUAAUACCCUUUAGAUUCUAUAAUUCAAACAGCACUUCAGCUUAUAUAAUCUGAAAACUUGUAUUUCCAAUAUUUACUUAACAUCGCUGAUUUACAAAACAUCAUUGACAUAUACUAUUAAGAAAACAUAAUUGAAAAUGACCAAAAAUUGAAACAAAAAUGUAGAGACAUAAAAACGAAUUCAAAUUCUCAUUAUAUUAAUAGAUCAUAUCUUGAAAGUACAUUUACAUUAACAUCAAAGCAUAUUACGCAAAAUUAUUAAACAUCUAAUAUUAAACAUAUGGUGCAAGAAGAUCAUGUAGGGGUAAAAAGAAUAUGAUGGAGGGGGAAGGAGGUUGGAGUAAGGUUUUUUUUUUUUUUUUUUAGGAUGAAGGAUACUUUGAUGGUCAACCUUACACCUAAACAUAUCAAAUUUACAUCCAAACAUAUGGUACAAAUUUGCAUAGUGGCACCAUCUUCGUUGAUCGCUCAUACGAUCGCUAAAAUAAAAGAGUAACCUUUUUGUAUAAAAGGUCAACGAUGGAAGCAUAUUAAUUGUGGAAGAAAACAGAAGGAGAAAAUGUGAAGAAUGAGAAUUUGUGAAGGAUUGGUGGGUAUUUACAGGAGGAACUUGUGAAGGAUGAUGCAUAGAGUGUAUAAGACCAUUGAUUACGGUCAAAAAACGUGGUAAACCUGGUUCGACCGGUCAAUGAAACUGAUAUGACCAAAGAAAAACUUGUUCAAUGAGUUAGUCUUGCUGAGCUGAUUCGAACUCUGAACUAGUUCAUAUUAGGUAAUUUGAACUCAUCCCAGGAAUGUUAUUAUAUAAUCCGAACUAAUUUAAGAUUGUGUUAAAAUUCAUACCUUAUAGGGUGAGGGAGAGUUUAAAUUAUAAAUUAUAUAAUUCAAACCAGUUCAAUACAUGUUCUUUUUGUGAUCUACAUUGCACCAACAGUUUCCUUUUAUGUUUUUUUUCUUUUUCUGUGUUCUGGUGUUGUGCCUUAUUGGCCUUUUUUUCCAAAACUGUGACACCAAUUUUUUAGGGCGAGAAUAGAAUUUGAUUGAUUCUCUUCAUUAAAUUCAAUGGAUUUCAUAAAUUUCUAAUUUUAAGGUCACACGGCUAAUACAUAUAUAACACAAAGUGUCGUCAGAGUCUUUUGGCAUUGGUGUCAUACUAAUCUUGUUUGAAUUCUCUACUCCGAUUAUUUUCUAUUACUUUGAGAAUUCAUGAAGUCAUUCAUAGACCUAUUUAACACAUAAUUGAUGCCUGUGUUUUAUAUUUACACUUUAUUAAAACUGUUGUAAAAGAAAAAAAAAACAGACAUAAUCAUAUUUUCGUUUUAUAGUUACGGUUUGCAAGCAUGAAUUCUCACCUCCGUUGAUCUCUUUAAAUUAAUUCGAAGCUUCAAUUCAAAGUGGGUAGAAGAAAUUGUAAACAGAGCAAGAGGUUUAGCUUGGAAUUCAGAAAAAAGUCUUGAAGCUUCACCCUUUCAUCAAUUCUUGAUUUUUUCUUCAAUUUGAUUAAGGGGGAUUACCACUAAAUGACUGUUUUAUCUUUAUCUAUUUUAUGAGCAUGUUGUUGCUUUAUGAAAUUUUUAGAGAUUCUUAGUUUAUGCAAUCUAUUUUAUGUGUUUCUGUCAAUCGCACUUUUGCUGCUGCGUAUUUAUCUGGUUUUGUGUUUGUGUCAGUUUCUGCAUAAUAUCUGCAUUCGUUUAGGUUUCCUUGUAGUUUCUUGUUUAAUGCAAUUACUACAUAAUUGCAUUUCUAUUUUUCAUGUUUCAUUAGUUAAUGUUAUUGCUCUUUUUAGAUUUUAUUUCUGCAUAAUACAUUCUUUAAUGAUUUCUACUUGGCUACUGGUUAGAACUAACAAUUAAAAAUAAAAGAUCUUAAAUAAGGGCAGGUCUUUAAAAAAUACCAUUAUAAUUUUCAACGUAACAUGCUUCUCUAUUUUACAUCUCUUUGUUAUAUAUAUUCAAAUUGGUGAGGUAUUUGAGAUUCUAGAGGGUGAUAAAUGCCUUCCUGAAGAACAAUUGCAAAGCUUAUAAAUGCCUUCCUGAAGAACAAUUACAUCUCCAAAUGUGGUCUUCCUGGAAACUCAGGUGGCAGACAAAUUAAAUCUUGUUCUGGUUUUGCUUGCAUGCAAUGUAAAUUUGAAUCCCUCUAAUAUCUCUUUUGUUUAGAACCUUCUCCUUAUGUCUAUGGUUUUUUUUUUUUUUUAAAUUUAUAAAGAUGAGCAUAUUUCUUAUUCAAAUUUACUAAUUUAGAGAAGGGUUCAUUGGAUUUGAAACUUGUUAUCAUACUUAUGCAUAUGUCAUCUUCAUUUAUUUGUGUGGAUUUACAGGGUUGUAUAUGGAUUUGUUAUGUUUGCAACUUAUUUUCUUUUAUUUUCAAUAGGCUACAUAUGCUUCUUGUACAGUUUCUUUGGAAACAAAUAGGUGAUGGAAAGAAAUGGGAGCUGCAGAGAAGAACCGAUCGAUGGCGGAAUUUUCAUGGAAAUAUAUGUGCUCUACCUAAUGGUCAGUGUAACAACUUGAAGGCACCAUGAUUUCUAGUCAUAGUUUAAAAUUGUUUGAUGUAAAAGGUCGAAACUAAAGCAUUAAGGUAAAAUAUAAUUCACUUUAACUGUUAUUACUUUUUGGGUAUUAACAGCAUUGCAACUGUUAUAUAAUCUUAGGAAAUCAAUAUUGUACAUUACUUUUUCAGCACUAUCAUCUUUUUAUCAUGCCAUAUCGCACUACUAGGUUUGCACAAACCUUGGGGUCAUUAAUUCAUUUUUUCCAAACUUAAACUAAUGCAUUUCAUUAUCAUAUCACAUGUAUUACACAUACAAGAGGUAAACACAUCUUAAGAACUUCUUAUUGAUGUAUAGUAAAACAUAAAAGCAAGCAAACAAACAAACAUACAUAAUAACAAGACCAUGACGAUGAGGGAAUUUGACAACUUCACACAUUUUAUUCAGAGCAAAGCAACAUACCAUCAAAUUCUUUAGAUGGAGAUACUAUUAGGAAUGCCUCUGCAAGUCAAUCCUUUCUCACUAGAAGGAUAAAGCAGAGUGUAUGGCAUAUUCACAGGCCCGUAUCGGUUUCUCAAUGACUCAUCAUUGUUCCUUUCAAUGAGCUUUACCUCAAUUUCAGCCAACUUCCUUCCAAACCUCUUGAAAGCUUCUAAUGGCUGUGAAUCUGAAGUCCAAACCUCGCCUUCAUUUCUCUGUCCAAGGUAUUGCUCAUCAGAAGCAUGCCUUGAUAAGACCUCUAAGAUCGUAAGGUCAGUGAGGGUAUCAUUUUUUGGUGUGAUUGUCCUUAGAUACACCUUUUGAAAGUUCUUAGAAAGCUCGGCAUACUCAGCAGACCCUUUCUCAGGCAUGUGUCUCCGGCUUUUAGUUGGUCGGUUAAGUAUAUAUCCUCCAUAUGGAUAUUGACCAAAAUUAACAGCUGCAUGAUGUGCUGAAGCAAUCCAUAUGAGGAUAGUGCAAGCUUCAAUCAACUCUGUACAAGUUUGCAUCUUAAACCACCAUGUAGCAUUCUUCAAAUCACCAUGACCCACCUCUACAACUUCUCUCCAAAAUGCUUGCAGUUCAGAAUCUUGCGCAACAGCAGCAUCUGACGUGUAGUAGAAACUCACAUAUUCUUCAACCCAUGACUUGAUAGCAUCCCAUAUCUCUAGUCCAUCAGCAGCAUAAGGGUAGUCCUCUAUCAGAAGGCGAAUUCCAUGUGGGGAAGUUGGAUCCUCAACAGCCACUCCUCUAGAUAACAAGCAAGGAAGAUAUCAUUAAUAUAAAAAAUUAAAAAGCUUGAGAUCAGUAUCUAUUUAACCAAGAUUUUAAAUUGGUUGUAGUAUGAUCUUAGUUAUUCUAGCGAAACGCGGUAAAAUACAGUUGAUGUGGCCUCAACCAACGGUGUUUGGACAUAAAAAAACCUUGAUUUCUCGUCUUACAUUGUGGUUACUAACAUUUUUUCCAAUCCUUUUUUUUUACUAAUUAAUUUAUGUGCAGGAUCUAAUAUUUUGUAAGGUUACCUUUUCAGUAAAUCAUUAGGAAGACCGUGCUCUAUGAAAACCCAAUCCUUAUAUAAUAGAGCAGACAAUUCUAAAGAAUAACGUCCCAUCAAGAAUGUCGAUUCUAUAAUACCCUCUGCAUUAACCAAGACAUUCCUUGCAAGUGCAUUAAUGUUCAUUGUGUCACGAUAAUGUGGAAGUAGAAGUUUGUGAAUAGGGUGAACCACACUAAGAUGCCUAUUUGUUGCUAUGAUGAAUGGCUCAACAACAGCAUGAGUGUUCAACCUGUUACACAUGUAGAUAUUAAUGAAUUACUCAUAGAUUGAUGAAAUUAAAUACGUUUGAUUCUAGAAAAACUCAUCAACAUAAUUCGUACCAGUGGCUGACAAGUUGAUGAAAACAGGAGUCAUUUACAACAACGUAAGCUUUGGCAAGUAGCCAAAUAGAAGCUUCAACACCUUCACUUGCAGGCAAGUAAACAUUACUAACAGGACCAUAACUAUCUUCUUGAGGAUGUGGCUUACUUAGCUCAAUGGCCAAUGGCUUCAAAGUUCCAUCAUUUUGUAAGAAAAUGAAGGUUCUCGUAGCAUAUGCCUUUGUAUCAGUUGAGUUUAUUUUCCUCAAAUAUGGAAAUAUUGGGUCAUGGUGAUCAAGUAUGUAAAGCCUGUUGUUUUGGAUAGCCUAUUCAAAAAAAUAUAAUUUAGUCAUUGUAAUUAUUUGAAUCAUAAAUAACCACAAAAUAACAUUGGCAAAGAUGUAUAUUCAUGGUAUUAAUGUUAAACUAUGUCAUUACUUCUUCUACAGUGACCCCAUCCAUGUUUAGCUGUAACUGUUCUUCGGUUAUUGUGCUCGUAUUAUCACCGUAGAGUUGGGUAUCUAGCUUGCUCUUUGGUGGGAACUCCUACAAUAAAUAUAGAAAGUAAUAAUGAAGUUAACAAUUAAAAAUAGGAAAAUGUUAUUUCUAGCGAAGGAAAUAUGGCUGCUCCUAAUUCUUGAAGAUUUCGUGAUGCUAUCUUUCGGGAAAUAUGGUCAAAAUAAAAAUUAAAUUUUCUGUUCGCAAAGAAAUCGUUAAACUAUCAAGUUUACCUGAAGUCUUUUGAUUAUGUGUGGAUUCACACCAGCAAUCAUCUCCCUUGCAAAUUCUCCAUCAGUCAUCCAUGCAGACUGAUUAACUGCUCAAAAUAAGAGCAUUUCAAAUGAUCCGUGAUAUUUUUAUUUAUUCUAUGAAAAUAUAUUGCUAGGACUGAACAUGUGUUUCUAAUAGAUACCUUCAACCACUUUAGGUCGUGGAAACUUUAGGGCCGAUUCACCAUCAGUUCUGAGGAGUUCCUGGAACACUGGUAUGGGGCUAAUUUUGCUAAGUGCAUUAGUAGGUAAUUCAAUUCCACCAUGAUAUAAUGAACGGACAUCUUCAAAAGUGUUAAACUCUGGCUGAUUGAAUUGUAAUGUAAGUGCAGAUCGUAAUUGAGGUAUAACAUUUUGAGAUGCUGAUUUCAGUAUAUAAACAAGAAAGUCUGAAGACUUCAAGUGGCCAAAUGAUUCAUCUCUUGGAAUGUAAACAAAGUCGCUCCGACUCUCACUUUUAUCAUCUGUAACAUACAAAUAGAAGACAUUAGCAACAAGAUCAAUAUCUUUAAAAUCAUAUAGAGGAAAUGUUUUGAUCAUAGGACCUUUAACUUAAGAUAGAGCAUAAAGUUUAUCACCUUUUUUAGCAUGUUUCCUGCCGGUUCUCCCCCUUCGAGGGUAAGGCAAGUUAUUGGAUCCUCCAACAACGGGACGAGCCAAGCUUUCUUUCUUGUCAGGAUCACCCAAGUCAUUGUAAACAUCGUAGUCAUAGAUCCUAUCCGAUUCUUUGCGCUCACCCGUUCCAUCUCCUCUUAAAGUCUUCAAUUCUUCUUGUCUGUAGUAGACUAAUGGAGCUGGUGUUUCGCUUGGAAGGUACGUCUAUAUUUAUAUUUAUUUAUCGGUGUCAAAUUUUGAGAAAUAUAAUUUGUAUUAGCAUGUUAAAGAAAUAUGAUUUUUUUUCAUUACCUUGUUCGUAAAGAAGAUGCGUUUCGUUUUAUACUUUUUAGCAUUGUAAAUCCAUGAGUUGCAAACAAAGUUGAUGGUUCCAUGGAUGGGAAUAUCUUCAAGCGUCAAACUUACAAGGAAGAAUUCUCCUAGCAUGAAAUUUUCAAUAUAAAAUGCUCCUGGAAUUCCCAUCUCACUGUCCCAUUCAAAAUGAACAUCAAAUGCAGAUUGCCCUGCUCCCAAAAUUGGUAUGGAGGUAACAAGACCUUCUAAAUAUGUUUUUUUUCCCACUUUACCUUUUCCACUUCCUACAAAUAUGUCAUAAUGCUUAAUUUAUGUCAAUAUAAACAACUUAAUCUUUUCUUAUGCUAAGUGCUAAAUUUAUGUUCACCCAAGUUGCUUAGAUUAUAUCAAAGUGAAAUAAUUCCUAAUUUCCUACAUAUAUUUUAGUAAUAGUUGAUUUAUUAUUUAAAAUAAGUUACGUCAAAGUGAUAAUCACAAAAAUAAAAAUAAAAAUUUAUAAUAAAACAAAAGGGAAAAUAAAUUGAAUCUUAAUGGACUCAGGAUCAAAUUCUUGUAAAAAUUAAAAUAUAAAGACAAUUUUCAUUUGGAUCCUUUGUAAAGCCAUUCAUUUAAAAACGAUAAACUUUGAAACUUAUAUCACCUGCAGAUUUAAAAAAUGGUGAGGCCUAGGUUGCCUUUGAAAACUCAUGGGCAAUUUACCUAAACCAAUCAAAAGUUUUCAUGUGUACUCCAUUAGAAUAAUAACAUUUAUUAUUUUAUUUUGCAAAAAUUUAGCAAGUAUUUUAUUAUUUGCAUAUUCACCCCAUCUUAAAUUAAUGAUUUUUUACAAUUUAAACCAUCACAAUAAUUAAAUUUCACCUCUAAUUCAAUCACUCUCCAAACCUCUUUUUUAGCUUGGCAAAAAUCAUUAAAAAUUAAAAUUAUCACCCCUGAGAAUCAAACCUGGAUGCUCCCACCUAUUUAAAAUGUACUCUGGAACCACUUGAUCAAUACAUUUUUUAUGAAAUAAUUUGGAAUUCAAAAUUAUGUUAUUAGUGAGCAAAUUAUUUUAUUUUUAUUUGCAGUGCCUUUAUAACCUAGCUUUAGUGAGAAAAAAAAAUCAUUUUAUGUGUGUAUAAUUAUGAAGUAGUAAAUUUUUCUUAAGAAAAAUGAAUUCAUUCAAUUGAUUUUUUAUAUUUUAAAUUUCAUUCUUUUUUAUAAAUUCAUACUUUUAUAUAGAUUCGAUGACCUACGACAAUGUUUCAUUUGUGAUCCACCGAAUUAUGAUUUAUUUUAGGUACUAUUUUUCAUUUGGAUCAGAUAAAUUGUUUAAAGGUAAUAAUUUUUUUUUUUGCAAGGUCUUAUAAGUUAUAACCUAGCUUUAGUAAAAAAAAUCAUUUUAUAUGUGUAUAUUUAUGAAAUAGUAAAUCUUUCUUAAAAAAAAUAAUUCAUUCAAUUGAUUUUUUAUAUUUUAAAUAUCAUUCUUUUAUAUAAAUUUAUAAUUUUAUAUAGAUUCGAUGAACUACAACAUUGUUUCAUUUGUGAUCAAACGAAUUAUGAUUUAUUUUAGGUACUAUCUUUCAUUUUGAUCAGAUAAAUUGUUCAAAGGUAUUAUUAUUAUUAUUUUUUUUGCAGUGUCUUAUAAGUUAUAACCCAGCUUUAGUAUAAAAAAAAUAAAUCAUUUUAUAUGUGUAUAUUUAUGAAAUAGUAAAUAUUUCUUAAAAAAAAAAAAAUGAAUUCAUUCAAUUGAUUUUUUUUAUAUUUUAAAUAUCAUCCUUUUAUAUAAAUUCAUACUUUUAUAUAGAUUCGAUGACUGAUGGGAUAAAACCGCAAGUGCACGAUUCUACCAGAAUUCAGGGCAUUACAAACGCAACAUGUGGCAUAAAAACAUUACUUUAUAUGUAUAUACUAUUGAUUUUCCUGUUCAUUUAAAAUAUUUUAUUUGCUUAAUUGCACUUUUGGACCCCUAUCUUUUCAAAAGUUGCGGUUAUGGAUCCCUAACUAAUUUAAAUACAAAACAGUCCCCUAUGUUUUGAUUCUUUAGCAGUUUUGGACCCCCAAGGCAAAAAAAAAAAAAUUUGACAAGUGGCACCUCACUUAGGGUGCCACGUCAGCGUUGACCGAGUCAACAAUGAAUUGGGGUCCAAAAUUGGCAAAAAAUCAGAACAUAGGGGGCUGUUUUGUAUUUAAAUUAGUUAGGGGUCCAUAAUCGCAACUUUUGAAAAGAUAGGGGUCCAAAAGUGCAAUUAAGCCUAUUUUAUUUACUAUUUUAUCCUUUAAUAAUAUUAUAUUAAAUUUGAAUUAGAAAAAUGAAAUCUCAUUAAAAUAGGAAAUAUACCACUACAACAGGAACAAUACUAUAUAUACUUUUUUUUUUUUUUUUUACAAAAUACUAUAUAUACUAUAUAUGAAGGGAAUAGAGACUUUGGGCUGAAUUUUUUAUAAUUUCAAUUAUACCCUUUAAACAAAUUUUCCUAUAUUAAUGUUCCAUUCUUGGUGGUAUUAAAAAAAGAUAAGAAUUUAUAUUAUAUUUGUUAAACUACUGUGUUGUUGUGGUAAAAGAUAAACAUGAUUUUUUUGGGUUUGUUACAAUUUUAAUUUCACAAAUAUUUGUACUUAUAAUUUUAAUCAAAAUCAAAAUUUCAUAUAAAAUACCGUUCAUAAUUUACACAUGUCACGUGCCCGUUUUUUCGCUAGUUAUAUAUAGUAUUUAUACUAUAUAUAAAGAAAACUAUCUCUUUCAGCACUUUUGGACAGGAUUUUUCUUUCCAAAAAUACCCUUAAUUUUUAAUACAAACAACACAUGUAACAAAUAAAUAAGAAUAAAUUUAAAUAUUAAAACAAAUGUAACAAACACGAUAUGUGUGUUUGGUUUUUUUCCUUUAUCAUUUAAAAAGUGUAACAAACUAUAUGAGUAUAUUUAAUAUUUGCUUUUUUUAUUAUCCCAAUUAUACCAUUAAAACAAAAUCCAUAAUCAUCAAUCAACAACAAGAAGAUCCAACAUUUUAAAAAAUAAAUAGAUAAAUUUAAAGGAAUUUUUUUAAGAUUCUUAUGUUGUUACAUAAUAUUUGGACAAGAUUCUAAUUCUCAUUAAUCUUUUCUCCCACGUCAAGAAUAUCUCUUUGCUUCUUCUGAUUCAUAUUCAUUCAUUCCUUAUUAUUCUAAUUUUUAACUCAAUUCAUCUUCCUAUAGAUUUGCAUCGUUUUUGCUGAACCAAGAAGGACUGUUAAGUAGAAGAAUUCCAGAAUCAUAGAUGUAAUCACAAUAGUUCUCAAUGACAAUGCUUAAAAAAAAUUGAUUUUUUUCCCAAUCUAUCUCUCUCAAUCCCGAUCUACUCUCUAUCCCCUUAAACCCUUUUUUCCUAAACUAUUCCUUACCUCUCAUGCUCUCUCUUCUCCAUCGGAUACCAUUUCCCCUUCUAUCAUCUUCAUUGCAUUCUCCUCUUUCUCUUUCAUUUUUGACUUCUCAAUAAAAAAUCAAUCGCAGCUUCAAUUUUUUAUUGUCGAAUUCGAAUUCGAAUUUGGGGUGCGUGGGUUCGAUUGAGAGAGAUAGGGAUCGAGAUGAUGGAUAUAUAGACAACGGUGUUGAUGGUGGUUUUGAAAAAGAGGUUUUGAUGGUGGUUAUCUGGAUUUUCUCUGGAUUUUUUUUUAUGAAGGUGAUGAAUGAGGGAAAGAAAGAAGAUGAAGUAUGGGAUAUAAUGCUAGAUGUUGUUGGUUCACAGUAAGAUACAGUGGACAUGCAUGAUCUAACAAUCUUUCUUUAUUAAAAAAGAUCAAACGGUUUAUAUUAAAAAAAAUAAUAGGAUCUAUAGUGGACCAGGGGGUUCACCAUAGAUAUUUGAGGUUAAAGUUAAUUUAUUUGCAAACUGUGGGAAAAGUGAAGGACUAAAACGUGAGUUUUAUUAAUUGUGAGACCAAAAUAAAACCAAAGAAUUAAAUAAGCCUUUUUUUUUACUAAAGCUAAGUUAUAACUUAUAAGACAUUGCAAAAAAAAAAAAUUAAUACCUUUAAACAAUUUAUCUGAUCCAAAUGAAAAAUAUUAUCUAAAAUAAAUCAUAAUUUGGUUGAUCACAAAUGAAACAUUGUUGUAGUUCAUCGAAUCUAUAUAAAAGUAUGAAUUUAUAUAAAAGAAAGAUAUUUACAAUAUAAAAAAUCAAUUGAAUGAAUUUAUUAUUAUUUUUUAAGAAAGAUUUACUAUUUCAUAAAUAUACACACAUAAAAUGAUUAUUAUUAUUUUUACUAAAGUUAAAUUAUAAGUCACUGCAAAAAAAAAAAUAAAAAAAAUUGCUCACUAAUAACAUAUUUUUGCAUUCCAAUUUAAUUCAUAAAAAAUGUAUUGGUCAAGUGGUUUGGGAAAACAUUUCAAAUAAGUGGGUGCAUUUAAGUUCGAUUCCCACGAGUGAUAAUUUUAAUUUUUAAUGAUUUUUGCCAAAUUGUUCAACUAAAUUUGAAUGAAUGCAUGAUCUUUGGCAUUAAAUUCCAAAUUUGAUAAAAAAAAAAGAGAGUGAUUGGAUUAGAGGAGAAAUUUAAUUAUUGUGAUGGUUUAAAUUGUAAAAAAUCAUUAAUUUAAGAUGGGGUGAAUAUGCAAAUAAUAAAAUACAUGCUAAAUUUGUGCAAAAUAAAAUAAUAAAUAUUAUUAUUCUAAUGGAGUACAAAUGGAAAAUUUUGAUUGGUUUGGGUAAAUUGUCCAUGAGUUUUUAAAGGUAAUUUAGAAAAAACCUUAAAAAAUUGGUCUGUUACUUGUUUAGCGUACAAUUUAGCGACCGAUUUCAAAGUUUGGUAAAAUGCAAAGUUCACUAAAAUUGUGAAAAUGCUACCACGUUUUUUUCCCCCUCAUCUCAAUUAUCUACUGAUGUGAAAUGUUAUAUGUUAUUAGGAAUUCUCUCAGGUACUUAUGGGUCUGUUUGGUUAACCCCAAAAAAGAGCUUUUAGCUUCUAGCUUAUAGCUUAUAAGCUCGUUUGAUAAAAAAAACUCUGUUUGGUAACACUUUUUUACCAUGAGCUUAUAGCUUAUUUCACGAGCUUAUAAGCUAUUUUUCAGAAGCUAUUCCAAGUAGCGUUUGAGCUUAUAGCUUAUAGCUUCUCACUUUUUCUUCCAAUUUUACCCUUAUUAUUUCAUUUAAAUUGUAUUUUUAUCCAUUAUAAUUUUUAUAAUAAGCUACGUAAUAAAGACUACUAUCCCUUUAUUCCAAUUUUUGUAUAUAUAUCAGCUGGCCUUUUUUUUUUUUUUUGAAAAAAUAUAUACCUUCGUUUUUUUUUUACGAAACAAAAUAUUAUUAUUCUAUUAGUGUUACUUUUUUUUUUUUUUUGAGAUAAGUGUUAUUUUCUUUAUUCUCUGUUAUUAUUAUUACUCUAUUAGUGCUACUUUUUUUUUUUGUUUUUGAGGUAAAUGUUAUUUUUUUUAUAAAGUGGAAACACUUAAAUGAUAAUAAAUAUAAGAUAAAAUUUUAGUGAAUAAAAUUUAAUUUAAUUUAUAAUACAUAGGAUAUAUUAAAUUAAUAAAUUUAAAGUAUUUUUUUAAAGAAAAAUUAGUUUACAAAAUUACAAAUACUUAAAUUAAUGAUAUAAUUUUUAUUAUGAAUUAAGAAUACCCUUUAUGUCAUUUUACAUUUAUCAGCUAGUUGAACCGCUAUUUUUACCAAACACUUCAGUUAGCUUAUCAGCUAUAAGCUAUCAGCUAGCUUAUCAGCUAAAAGCUAUCAGCUAACUUAUCAAUUAUCCGCUAUUUUUACUAAACAGAGCCUAUGUCCACCGAUGUGAAAGGCAAACCAAAGUUUACUAAAAUUUCAAAAUUGUCACUGUGUGCAUCUUUCCCAUUAGGUAUUUUCUGUGCCGAUGUGAAAACCCCUGUUGUAAGAUGUAUAUUUUCUAGUAGUGGUUAUGCCAGCUUGUAGCCUUAGAUCUCUCCAAGGAAGAAAAAAGCUACUAAAAAAACUUGAAUUAGUAAGAAGAACUUUAGAGGAAAAAAAUCUCCCUAAAUUUAGUGACCAAAGUAUAGGGAAAAAAAAUAUUUUUCCAUCACUAAUUUUCGUCCCAAUUUUAUUUGUUUUAUUUUUAUAGUGAAAAUUCUACCUCAUAUAUUAACAAAAGAAUAAAGUUUAAAGGAUCAUCAAAUCAUCAGCACAUUAUAUCUUCACCUAAAAUCAUAAGACACUUACUAUAUGAAUCACUUUUUAUAUGGCAUUUGUUAAGAUAGACUCAUUUAAUUUUUAGAAGUACUACUUUAACAAGUUAAAACUAAAAUAAUAUAUAAAACAAGGGUUUAAGUUAGCAACUUUUGCAGGCAUUUGUUAGAAUAUAUUCACUCAUUUUUUUAAGGGACAUCCACUCAUUUUUUUUUUAGAAGGACUAUAUGUUAGAAGUGAUAAUGAAAAAUUUGUUAAUUAUACACACAGUAAGGUGCAUGUUGCUAAAAUACUCCAAAAAGCUUCCCCCAAACACAUAUUUCAAGGUGCAAAGUUCAAAUUCUUUUAGGAGAGUUGUAAAAUGAUCAUUAGUGUCGAGUAGUAGUAUGAAAGAUUAAGAAGUAAUUACCAUCAACAUUGGUAGCACUAAUCAACCUGAGAGCCACUGAACGGCCAAAGGAGGAAGUGUAGGUAUCAAUUAUAGAGCUAGUGAUAUCACCAACAACAUUGAAUCCACCUUUGAUUAAACCAGUGGCACUUUGAGCUGCAGUGAUUUCGUUGAUAUCCAAUACAUUCUUAUGCAUCAAUAUCACUGUCCCCUUCACCUUUUGGCCUCUGUUAAAGAUACUUUUCACCCCUGAAUACAUCUUAGUAAUUUACUGCUUUUAAUUUUGUAUUCUUUUGCAAAUUAAUGAAAGAAAAGUUUGUGGUUUGCAUGUUGCAACCAUCUCAUUAUUUAUAGGGCCAAAUUAAUGUUCUGAUUCAAAACUAUAUUAUUUUUUUAGAGACUGAUUCAAAUCAUAUGAGUCAAUGUUCUUUCCAUAUUUUAUCCUCAUCCAAAAUAAUUGAUCUACUUGUAAAAAAAAAACAUUUACCAAAAUAAUUUAUCUUUUUCAAUUUGCAUGCAACAUUAACGACUUCUUUUCUACUGUACAAUGGAAUUAAUAUCAUCAAUUUCAACUCAAUAUCUUCAAUUUUUUAUAUAUAUGGUAAAAGUUAAUACAUGAUAAAAGUACUUCAUUAAAAGCAAUCUUCUCUUUACUUUUAACAUAGGUGCAGUUUUUUUUUUUGAAUGAACAUAGGUGCAGUGUUAAAAAAAAAUGGAGUAUUCCUUAAACGAAUUAGUUGUCUUUUUUUAUGUGACUAAAAUGAAGUCGUCUUUGUUUAAACAUACUCUUCUCACAGAAGAUAACCAUGGUUCAGUGCAAUAAUAAUAAUAAUAAUAAUAAUAUUAGCAAGAGGACGUUGAGGACUAUAAUUUGAGAGGUAGGUAGGCGAAUUUACCGGGGCAAUAAUGCAAUGAGAAGAGCACCCAAUUGCAGUGCUUGGCCCCAAAGAUGUUCAAAACUAGACUAUUAGUGUGUGAAGAGAAAAACAAAAGAAGAAAAACAUGAUUUCUCAGUAUGUCCAGUUAUAUUCAAAUUUGUUAUAAUACAAUGUCAAUUGUUGAUUGAAACUAGAGAUUAGUUCAGGUAGCAGAUGAUGUCCUCGAUUAUGAUUCUCUUUCUUUGCACGAUUGACGUUGAGGAAAGAAUUUUCUCCCUCAGCUACGGGUUCCUGAAAUUAUUUAGUAAAAUGUUAAAUAGAGUUGUGUUUUUGGCCAAGAAGUGUAUGUAAACUAAGAUAAAGAGAUAAUGAUAAAUGGAUAAAUUAGCGAAAAAAAUAGCUUGUGUUUGAUUGUGUGUUGACUGUUAACUCGGUCUAAAGUCUUCAAGGUUGAUGUACUAGCCAAUAGACUCGAGAAAGAAUCGACCAACCCUCUUUCGGCUAAAAUAACACUUGCAUAACCUUCUAUCGGCUCGGAAAAUUCUCCCAACCAAAUGUCAUUUUGUGUUGCGUUAUCACUUGAAUUUCGAGUGAUGAGAUGACGCAACGUAAUUGAAAUGGUUACGAACAAUAUCAUCAUUACGUCAUAAAAGUAGAAAAGUAGUCGUUGGGAUGAAUCAAUUUGAGAUCUUUUGUGUAAAAGUAUUUCAUUACUCUCAUUUUUUUUUGGGUAUAAUUACUCUCAUUUUAACGUCUUCUACUUAUAUAUAUGAUUAAAUUUUGAUACAUUAAUAUGAGAAGAGUACUUUAUUAAAAAUAAUUUUAUCUCUCUUUCAUUUAUACAUUGUUCUUCAUCCAUGUGAAUUAGUUAACUAAAUCGGUUAUUUAUGAGGGAGAGAGUAUUUUUCUUUUGAACUAUAAUAUUUAUUUUGUGUAAACCUUCUGAUUUUGGGAAAAUAAACCGCUUUUUUUUUUUUAAAUAAAACUCUAAACUCCAGUUUUCAGUACGUAGGUAAGUUUGAAAUCAUCAAUUGAUCAUUGACAUGCAAAAACUAUUAGCAUGAGGCUAAGCGUGGCAGAUAAAAUAACAAUGAAUUUGUUUAAAAAACAGUAAUAAAGUACUGAAGGUAAAAUACUUUAUCAUAAAAAAAUAUAAUAAUAAUAUAUGUUGAUUGAUCAUAUUUUGACAAAUAGAUCUAUUGAGCUAUUGUUAAUUACAUUCUUACGUGUAUACAAAUAAAAAUAUUCCCUGUACGAGGUUGUCUUUUUUGUUUUUGAUUUUGAUGGUACGAGGUCGUCUUUCUUUCUUUUGUUUAAACAUACUACUUUUCUCACAUAAGGUAACCAUGGUUCAAUGUAAUAAUAUCAAUAAUUGUACAAGAGUUAAUUUAACCGUGCGAUUAUUGCACAUUACGAUGCUCUCCAUUUUCAAUUGUCACUAUUUACUUGUUAACAAAAUUAAAAAUAGUAGAAGUAGGACUAUACUAGAUUCAAUAAUAUUUUAACUUUUAAAAAAUUAAAUUCAUUAGUUUUGACCGUUUCCUAAUACAAUAUAUUGAUAAAUCCUUAAUCAAUGUCUUAAAUACACUUUUUAGUAUUUUUCUUAAAUUAAAUAGUAGGUCAUAUCAGAUUUUUAAAAUGUCACAUUCAAACCUAAAUAAUAAACCUACGACACGCCACAUGCUAGACAUUGAUCUUAAAAAUUUUGGUAGAUUAGACUUAGAUUUUGCAAAAUUUAGUUCGGCCUAACCUAUUAUAUUUUGAAGAUUGCUCUAAUCCAUGUCCUAAUUAUUCAUCCCAUUAAUUCAGCUGUUCAAUAUUUUUCAACGGCAAUUACUGCUACGGGCAUUUUUAAGACCAGUUCAUUUACUUUUUAAAUUGUUUUAAUAGCAAUUUUCAUUAUUAUAUGUACCCCAUAUACGCUUCCCAUGACGUCCAACGCUGACAGCAGCAUGCAAGUGCACUUCACGUGAUCUUGUUCCUUAUUGCAUAGUUAGUUUUUUAUUUUCUAAUUUUACUAUACCGAACUCUAACAUUUUCACACUCAAAGUUCUUGCCCUGUCUCCCGUUUUUUUCUUUUCUUUUUUUAACAAAAACAACUUAUAUAUUUUCAUUCAUCAAAUCAAAUUGAAAGUAAUACAAGAUGGAAUUAAAUAAAAGAUAUGAUGCCGAAUAUACAUAGAUGUGAUAUAAGAUAGAAUAACGAGCAUAUAAUUAUAACACUUAAUAAUAUAUGAGUGACAUAAUUUGUUUGUGUUCAAGCUAAACUCAUCUUAAAGUUUUGAAACUGUUCUACUAAUAAUUUAACUGUGCGAUUGCGCAUUACGAUGCCCUCCAUUUUCAAUUGUGACUAUUUCCUUCAUCGCUCAUAUGAAUUAGCUGUUAAAAGGUAGGUCGUAUCAGACUUUCAAAAUGUCAUAUUUAAACCUAAAAAAUAAAUUUAUGAUAGACCGCAUGCUAGAUACAGGCCUUAAAUUUUUUAACAGAUUAUCCUUAAGUCUUGCAAAAUUUAGUUCGACCUGCCUAUUUCAAAAAUUGCUCAAAUCUAUUUCAUAAUUGUUCAUUCGCUUAAUUCAUUGGAAGUUAACUGUUGCUCGAUAUUUUUCAGCGGCAGUUCAGAUCGGUUUAUUCAUUUUUUAAGUUGAUGUAAAUAGAAAUAUGUACCCCAUAUUCGCUUCCCAUGACGUCCAAUGCUGAUAGAAGCAGCAUGCAAGUGCAAGUGUAUUAUAUUACCGUAUAGUCGCUUGAAAUGAAACCACACACUUCACGUGAUCUUAUUCUUUAUUGCAUUCGUUUUUUCUUCACUAAUUUUACUAUCCCAAAACUCUAACCUUUUCACACUCAAAGUUCUUGCCCUCUCUCCCUCUUUUUUGUUUGACCAAAAGCAACUUAUAUUUUUUCAUUCAUCAAAUCAAAUUGAAAGUAAUAUAAGAUAAAAUUAAAUAAAAGAUAUGAUAACAAGCAUACGAUUUUAACACCCUUAAUAAUAUAUGAGUGACAUAAUUUGUUUGUGUUCUUGCCAAAUUUAUCUUAAAGUUUGGAAAUUGUUCUACUUAUAUCUACAAUUGGACAAAAUACCGUCAAACUUCGAUUGAUUGCUAGAAUUAUCCAUGAUGUCUUCUGCCACUAACUUACAAUCUAGUUCAAUUUUCACGGUUGAUAAUCCUAAUUCUCGAACAUUCAUAGUGAUAUGUCCGGUGAAGAUGAGAUAAAUAUGGGGGUGGUUCUCUCCGGGAACUGCAUUUGUUCUCCGGAAAUUUUUCUUUAAGUUGUAAAUAGAUCAUUUAAGUUGUAUAUUUAUCGCACUCUUAUCCUUUUAAAGAUUUGUUUGAAACUUAAAAACUUAAAAAACUUCAUAUAGGUGUAUUAAAUUAACAAUUUAAAAGAUCUAUUUGAAUUUUUUAAAAAAAAAAAAACAAAAAAACUUAAAGGACAUAUUUAAACCUUAAAAAACUUAACUGAUCAACCUAAUAUUUUUGUCAAACUCAUAAAAAAGCGUUCAUGGCAUACGGUGUUUUCCUUCCAUAAAAAUAAAAAAUAAAAAAUAUCUGAAUGUAUUUUUGUUUUACAAAACUCACAUGGCAUGUUGUAGGAGAUUUGAGAUGUGUGUGGGGGUGGGUGUAAAAUUCCAUAAACCUGAUAAAUCAAAAUUGUUAAAAGUGAGAGUAAAUUGGAAUGGAAAAUUUAAAAAUUGUGGAAGUGGGGAACCACGUAAAAAUAAACUUUUCCAACUUAAACCAUAUGAUAAUUUCUUAAUCUGUCCUCUCAUGUUAUCAGCAGUACGCUUUUAAUAGUGUUUUAUAUUUGAAAUAUACUGCCAGAAAUACAUUUAUGAUAAUAUAAAUUGAUAGAUUUAAGCAAUAUAAGAAGAUUCAUAAAUUAUCAAAACAUGCGCAAUGCUAAAGCCCACAACAUGCAGAUGCACAAAGGAGGAUUCGAUUUGUAGUGCAAAGUUGUUGGGGCAAUGAAAAUCGGAUUUAAUUUGUAUGUAUAGAUAGUAUAAAACUUGUUUACACAUGUAUCAAAUCAAAUUACGCCAUUAAAAUAUUUAUGGAGAUAUUUAAACAAUUCACUUAUAAAAACGACACUUUAUUCUAAUUUGAUUGGAUGGAUAUAUAAAAAGAAAUUACACUACUUGUUCAGAAAAAAAAAAAGAAAUUACACUAUCGGUGCAUAGAAAUGACACUCAUGAAAAUUACCCUUCCUACCAAACAGUAUAUAAAGUCUCUAUAUUAUUGCCAACAACCAUAAAUUAUUGAGGAGGUAGAGGUUAGCCAUUUUAGCACGUUUGUGUUAUUGAGAUAACAAAAUUGAAAAAAGUCAAAAAUUGAGUUAUUUAAAAUGUAGUAGAUUUUGAAAGAAAGAAAAAAAGUUCCAAUGAACUCAAAUUUUUGAGUUUUUGAGAUAACCAAUUAAAAUUGUUCUUGGGACGUAAAACACGCUGAGUAUUAGGGGUGUUCAAAUCCAUACCAAUCCAAAAUAAAACCGCAAACUGAUCCAAAAAAACCGAAAACCGCAAAAAACCAAAUAUUUUUGGAUGUGUUUGGAUGUUGUUUUGGAAAAACCGCUAUGAUCGGAUCGGAUUUCGGAUUGCGUUUUCAAAACCAAACCGAACCGCAAAAGUAAAUUUUUAUACUUAUUUAUUAUUUUAUUAGUAUUAUAUAUUGCACUAAUAUAUUGCUUAUUGAUAUUUAAUCUUAUAUAUUGCAUUAAUUUAAUCUAUAUUAUUACUACUUCAUCUAUUUCAAAUAUAAUCAAUCAUUUUUAUUGUGUAAUGUUAACUUUUUAAAUAAAUUUGUGUCAUAUUUUGUAUCAAACCUAUUAUUUUAUUGUGUAUGAGUAAUAUUAAUAUUUAAAAAAAAAAUUACAUGUUACACUUUGGAUAUCCAAAAACCGAUCCAAAUUAAACCGCAUAUAUUUGGAUCGGAUCGGUUCGGAUUUUUUUAACAUAAUCAUCCAAACCGAACCGAACCGCACGUGAUUUUUAUUUUGGAUCGGUUGAUUUUUAACCUCAAAACCGAUCCAAACCGGACCGCGAACACCCCUACUGAGUAUGUAAGCUUAAUAUUGUUUUUCUUUUACAAAAAGUAAAUUUAAGGGGGUGUUUCUAUCAAGUAUAAUAUUUACAUUUAUGGGAAUACAUAGGUACGGAAUGAGUAUAUCCAUAUUUUUUAUAAGAUUGAGAAAUCAUUAUUCUUAGGUAUCUAAGGUUCUUAGGAAUGAAAUAACUUUUCUUAACUUUAAACAAUCUUACGAAAUUAUUCCCAAGGUAAAGGAUGGAAAAGUAGGUUCCCAUCAAAUUUUGUACACUUUUUUUCUAAAAGAAUAUAACUUGCAAUUCCCCUAGGAGUGUUCAAGAGUGUGCCAAACAUUUUUUUUUUUUUUUAAAUACCCAUGAAUAGAACUCCCGUCAUGAUAUCUUUAACUGUGAUUCCCUUUCUUCAAGCGAUUAAUGGUGAGGAUGGAACUUUGUUUUUAGGUUUUUUUUGCUACUAGACUAGUUGGAAAUGCAUGUAAAAUAACAACGGCAGAAAAAUAAAAGUGAUAAAAUAGGGAAAAUAGUUUGUGAUUGAUUGAUUAUGUGUUAAAUACAUUGUAUAGAGUAUGUACUUAUAGGCAAAACUAUUUCUACUGGCCACAAGAUAUUACCUACAGUGUUUAACCUUGUUCGACUAUUUUCACGAGUAAGCAUCAGCUUUCCCACGCUCGACUGUCAGCUUCCCAAUUAAUGGCAUGACAUGUUGACAAGGUCCAUAAUGUUUAGUACCUCAUUGUCCAGAUCUGCUUGAGCUUUGACUCAAUAUGAUGUCUUCAAGACAAUCGACCUACCCUUGUUUGGCUAGAAUAACACUUGCAUAGAUUUCCAUCGCUUGUCUAUUGAUUUCAGCUAACAUGACAUAUAUAAUUACUUUUAGGUGUAAACAUAUGCUUCCUUGCGUUGCAUUUUCGAUUGGCUUCCAAGUGAUUGGGAUGAUGCAACAUAAUCGAACUGAUUGCGCGUGAACAAUGCGAUCUUUUAUGAAUGGAUAUGAACUAAUAACCCUGUCAAUCCAAUAACUCCAACGGUUACCGCAGUUUUCUCAAUUGGUAUGGUGAUAUCUUCGCCUAUUUGAAAGACGAUCUUUACGUAUAAAUAACUUUUUAUAGACCUGGAUUAUUCCCCAACUUUUCACCCUUUGUCGUUCUUUUUAUGUGGCUUCCUAUCCACUAAAUAAUUCAUGACUAUUACUUUUUCUACCCUGCUGCCUUCUCGCGCGCCCUGCAAAAUUUACUAAAAUACCCCUGGUCCGGAUUACAUAAUCCGGAGCAAAUUGUUAGUGAUAUCCGAAAAACGAAAUUCGGACCAGAUGUUAUGCGUUUUUUUGUGUCUUUCUUUGAUGUCAAGGGUUUCUGUUGACCGUUAUAUGAACCCCACACAAGUUGCAAUGUUAUUCCAGGGUUCAUACGAACAGUCAAUAAUGACCAUGACACCACUAACACCCCAAAAAAACUAAAAACAUUUGAAGAAAAUGGAAGAAAAGAGGUGAAAUGAAGAAUGAAGGUAUUUGUUGAAGAUGGAAGCAUGUUUAUAGCCUAAAACAAGUCCUAGGUCAUUAGUACAGUAAAUGAAAACGUGUUAGUGGUUGUAACCGUCCAAACCCACAUUAAUGGCUCUCUUUCAAAAGAAUCCAAUGCUGAAGCUUUCAAGAUUUUACAUUCCGGAAUAACCUUAGCCCUACAGAAAGUGCCAACUUUUCCCUUGUUCACCAUUAUCGCAUUAAUCCGGAAAAUAUAUUCCGGAAAACAAAGGUGCAUUUCAGAUUUUAUUUUCUGGAAUGCAACAAUGUCAUGGCCAGUGGUCUGCACCACACAUUUUUGUCGAUGGUCAGGUAAUAAAAAACGUGUUUUAUCACGUUUUUUGACUGCAUUUAUGGUCUCCCAACCGUUUUUGCCCCUCCCUAUAAAUAACCUUCCAAACCCCACAAUUUCUCACACCAUCCUCUCUCACCCUCUCCUCCUCUUCUUCCUUCUAAAACCAUCGUUUUUCAUCGUUGGCCUUUCAUAGAUAAGGGUCUCGUUGAAAACUUUCAAGGUUUGUAUGAACGGUCAAUGUGGAUGGAACAGUGCUGCAACGAAGUGCGGUUCAUCUGAGGGUCAUGUGGGUCAGUGUGGUUCUUAGCUUGGCCUAUCUGGGCGUAAGUUUCAGCACCCCCACCUCCCUCAGGGACAUUGUUUUCUUCUUCCUGCCUUCCUCUUCCCUCCUCCUCCUCCGGUUUUCCUCCAUUAGGGAACCUACUGCUAUGUCCUAUCGCAUAGUAGUGAUUAGGAUCUUAGGAGAUUAGAAUUAGGCUCUUAGGAUAUUAGAAAUAGAUUUAGGAUCUUAUAUAAUAAGCUUAAAAAGCUUGAAAAUUAUUGUAAUGUAUAGUUCAUAUAUUAAUAAAAUGAGUUAUUUUUAUGUUUGUGUCCUUUUAUUUCUGUUUUUUAUUUUAUUUUACGAAUUGUAAAGCUUAAAAUUGCAAAAGUUAUGGUAAAAUAUUAUUCCGGAUUUUCAAAUCCGAUUUAAAAAUACAUUCCGGAAAACGAAAUUCGGACCAAGGGUAAAAUUGAAAAAAAAAAAAAAAAAGGGUGUGCAAGGAAAGAUAUAGGGUGGAAUAGGUAAAACUCACAAUUCAUUUUGGUGCGUCCUUCAACCCUCAAACCCAAUAGUCAGAGAGCUUUGCCAAUGAUUAUUCUCUAGUUUUACACCCGAUAAUUUUCUUAAUCUUGUCAUUUUCAAGAUAAAAGACCACUAAUUCAGAAAACGAGAAUGAGAAGGGAAGUGGCAAACGAACUUUGACUCGUAAAGGCAAAUUAAAGCAUGACAAUGUCUAGAUAGGGGAAACUUAAAUUCCUAACAUUUCAUGGGAAGGUAAUAAUUGUCUCAAUCGAUUUCCAGAACUAACACUUCCUUCAUUUACUAAGUAAUUUCUUAUCCUUGUUUUUAAGAGUCUUUGUGCAAUUUUAUUUAAGGAUUUUUAGAAAAUUCUAAGGAGGUGCUGAUAGUUUAGUGAAGAGUCUAUGAUGUUUAGAGAAACCAUUUUAAGUCUUGUAUUUUCCUACCUAGACAACUCUAUAAAUGUCAUAAGUCUUUUUGUUAUAGACGCUAUGAGUUGAUUUUAUCACUAUGACUAGAAAAACUCAUUGGAUUAGUAUUGAAUGAUCAACUUCAAUGAUGUUGUUUGAACUAUAUGUAAUCGAUGAUGUCCUCUAUUAAUGCAAUCUGAAAUAUGCUUAUAAGGUAUACCUUGUGCUUAAUGAUUUUCAAUGCCUGAUAAACUCUGAAUUGAUUUUAAUUUAUAGUUCACAAUCAACACUUGUUUUUGUAACACGAACUAGGUAGUGUUCUUUAAUCAAUUUAUCUAGACAUAAGGUAUUAAUUAGUAUGGUCGGUAGUUUAACUGUCAAUGAAUCUUUUGAUAAAAUUAGUUUCACCUAAGAAAUUAGGGUUCUAUUUUAGAUAAAUGGGACGUCGAGGCAAGAAAUUGGUCGUGGUCUAUUUCUUUAAACUGUUGUGAACAUAGAAAUCAAAUUGUUAUUGUCUAGGAACUAGUAUUAUCAAAGAAAAUCUUUCUAUAAUUUAAUUUGCGAAACCAAAUCUUACGAAAACUCCCCCCAAUUUAACUUUUUAAUAAGUAUUGUUUAAUUGUCAAGUAUAAACAAUAAUAUUUGUGGAGAGGGAUCUUUAUAAACACUAUUACUUGAUCUGCCAAAGAGUCCAUCAAGCUUUUGGCGCCAUUGUUAGGGAAUCGUUGAUGAUCUCAACAAGGUAGCUACGCUCUACUUACAUGAUUUGUUUUUUUUUGUAAUUUAUUAUAAAAACAUAAAAAUAUUUACUUUUGGCUCUUUAAUCUUAGUGUGUGUUGUGCUAAAUAAAUAUUCUUGAGUGUUGUUAUGCGAGGUGGAAGCUCAGGUACCUUGUUAUUUGAUUCUGAGGUUGAGAAGAUUACAAGAGAAAACCAGAAAGAUUCUUUUUCUAUCUCAGUACCCCUCAAAUAAUCUAAAAAUACUAUCAGAGGGAGAACAUAGGCAUGGUUAGAGAUGGUUUAGCAAAGGAAACUCAAGUUUGAGUUUUCCCCCCAAAAUCCUAAAAUACUCUUUUUUUCCUUAUUCUUUUUUUUCUUCCAGAAUUAAUGAACGAUGGUGUGCAAGUCCUAUAUUUCACCACUUAUAUGUCACGCAGGUUCUAUUGUAACUUCUUUCAUUUAUUACUUUCGUUGUUCUUUUGCUUGAUCUAUUCUUUUUUCCAUGUCUAUUCUCUGUUCCGAUUUGUUUUGAUUUUGUGAUCGAUAUUAUCUCUACUGUUACUUCUUUCGGUUAUUGUAUCCCUUGGUGUUUGAUUAUGUUUCACAUUGAUAAACUUAAUAGUGUUUUUACUUUUUACUUGUUGAAGAGCUUACAUUUGUGUCUAUAGAGUUCUAUUGGAAGUAAAUUGUUUAUUUUUAUGUUUUCUUAUAUUUUUGUUUGUUUUUGUAUUCAACUUGGCUAUUGUAAUCACACCUCUGUUUCCGGUAGCUGAAUUAUUAUUGUCUAAAUUUGAUCAAAGGCAACCUAGCAAUUGAAUAAUCGAGCCUUGUCGGAAAGUGUCAUUGUCACCACUCAAUGGAUGAGAAACCAACAAAAAAGCCGGAUUAUUAGAAGAAUGAAUGUGAAAGAAUUGUUACCAAUCAUGGAAGUCAUGGGAGGUACAUAAAGUUCAACAAGAUCACAAAAGAAUAGCGUGAGAAGGAGAAAAAAGUUGUGCGAGAAAUCAGAGAGAAUUGAGGAAAAACUCAGUUGAUACCAUAUUUGAACCAUAUGAGACAAUUGAUUCCUGAAAUAAAAACAUUAAGGCUGCAUUUGAUACAAGAGGACUAGAAUGUUACAAGGUACAAACAGACACAAUAAUUCUUAUUGAUGUAAAGUAAAACAUUAACAAUAAAACAAACAUACAUAAUAACAUGAUCGUAAGUAGGAAGUGAGGGAAUGGAAUUCCUUCACAUCUGUUAUUCAAAGCAGCAACACAACAACCAUGAUCCACUUUAGAUGGAGAUACUAUUAGGAAUGCCUCGGCAAGUCAAUCCUUCCUCACUAGAAGGAUAAAGUAGAGUAUAUGGCAUCUUCACUGGUCCGUACCGAUUUCUCAAUGUCUCAUCAUUGUUCCUUUGAGUGAGUUUCUGUUCAAUUUCAGCCAACUUCUUUCCAAACCUCUUGAAGGCUUCUUUUGGUUGUGAAUCUGAAGUCCAAUUGUCACCUUCAAUUCUAUCUCCAAGGUAUUGCUCAUCAGAAGCAUGCCUUGACAAGACCUCUAUAAUGGUCAAGUCAGUAAGUGUAUCAUUCUUUGGUGUGAUUGUCCUCAAAUAAGACUUCUGGUAGUCCUUAGCAAGCUCAUCAUACUCAGGUGAUCCUUUCUCAGGCAUGAAUCUUCUACUCUUUGUUGGCCGGUUAAGGAUAUAUCCUCCAUAUGGAUAUUGUCCGAAAUUAACAGCUGCAUGAAGUGCUGAAGCAAUCCAUAUAAGGAUGGUGGAAGCUUCGAUCAACUCUUCACGGGUUUGCAUCUUAAACCACCAUGUGGCAUUCUUCAGGUCACCAUGACCAACCUCUACAAGUUCCUUCCAGAAUGCUUGGAGUUCAGCAUCUUGUGCAAUGGCAGCAUCAGACUUGUAAUAGAAAUUCACAUAUUCACCAACCCAUGACUUAAUGGCAGCCCAUAUUUCUAGUCCAUCAGAAGCAUAAGGAUAAUCCUCUAUCAGAAGGCGGAGACCGGUAGGAGAGGCUGGAUCCUCAACAGCUACUCCUCUAAAUAACAAGCAAGGAAGAAAUAUUAACAUACAAAAAAUAUGUUCUAUGGAGUUAUUAUUAAUUAAAGUGAUUUUAAUGAUCAUUUUACAACUGUUUUAGAGGAGAUUUAAGCCCGUAUAACAGAAAUUAUUAGUUAGAGUUUGUUGAUAAAAAAUUGACAGACCAAAGAUGUAAGGUUACCUUUUGAUUAGAUCGUUAGGUAGUCCUUGCUCAAUGAAAUUCCAAUCCUUGUAAACAACAGCAGACAUUUCCAAAGCAUAAUUUCCCCACAAGAAGGUUGAUUCUAUAAUACCCUCUGCAUUGACCAAGACAUUUCGUGCAAGUGCAUUUAUGUUCAUUGUGUCACGGUAGUGAGGAAGUAAAAGUUUAUGAAUAGGGUGAACCACACUAAGAUGCCUGUUUGUUGCUAUGAUGAAUGGCUCAACAACAGCGUGGGUGUUCAACCUGUCACACAUGUCGAUAUUCAUGAAUUAAUCAUAGAUAGGUUAAUUAUGUUUGAUUGUGUAUACGUGAUUAAUGAGAUUCAUACCAAUGGCUGACAAGUUGAUGAUAGCAGGAGUCAUUUACAACAACAAAAGCCUUGGCAAGGAGCCAAAUUGAAGCUUCAACACCUUCACUUGCGGGCAAGUAAACAUUGCUAACAGGACCAAAACUAUCACCUUGAGGGUGUGGCCUGCUUAGUUCAAUGGCCAGUGGCUUCAAAGUUCCAUCAUCUUGCAAGAAAAGUAUGGUUCUGGUAGCAUAGGCCUUUGUCUCGGUUGCAUUUAUUUUCCUCAAAUAUGGAAAGAGUGGGUCGUGGUGAUCAAGUAUGUACAAUCUAUUGUCUUGGAUAGCCUGUAUGACAAAAUAAAAUUUAGCUACUGUGGUUUACUUGAAUAAAAAAAAUUCAAUCAUGGAGAAAAAUAUUAAUCAAACUAAGUCCAUGAGGUGUCAACCCAGUGGUUAAAGUCGACCUUAUAACCUCAAGGGAUAGAUUUCAAAUUUUCUCCCGGACGAAAUUCACGAACGCCACUUUGGAAAAAAAUAGAACUGAUCAAAUAUGUCAUUACCUGUUCUACGGUGACCCCACCCAUGUUUGGCUCCAAGUUUUCUUUGGUUAUGGUGCUGGUAUUAUCACCAAAUUUUUGGCUAUCUAGCUUGCUCUUUGGUGGAAACUCCUGUAUUAAAUUUAGCAAGCAAUAAUGUCACCAAUUACAAAAAUAACAUAAUGUUUACAAAAUAGUCUUAGUUUUAUUUUUUUAAUUUCUUAACAAAGUUAAACUAUUAGCUUUACCGAAAGUUUUUUGAUGAUGUGUGGGUUCACCCCAGCAAUCAUCUCCCUUGCAAAUUCCUCAUCAGUCUGCCAUGCAGAAUGGUCCACUGUUCAUAUUAAGAAAUUUUCAAAAGAUCCAUUAGAUUUCUUUAUAUGAUUUUGUAUAAAUAUAUUACUGCAAGGACUAGGUAUUAUGAUUAAUAUAUACCUUGAAUCACUUUUGGUGGUGGAAACUUAAGUGCUUGUUCACCAUCAGAUCGGAAAAGUUCCUUGAACAAUGGUAUUGGACUAAUCUGGCUUAGUACAUCAGUAGGAAGCUUAAUUCCACCCUCGUAGAGAGAGCGCACAUCUUGAAAGGUGUUAAACUCAGGGUUAUUGAGUUGUAAUGUAACUACAGAUCUCAGUUGAGGUAUGACAUUUUGAGAUGCUGAUUUGAGUAUGUAAACAAGAAAGUCUGAUGACUUUGUGUGUCCAAAAGAUUCAUCUCUUGGAAGGUAAACAGUGGGACUUCGAGUCUCACUCUUAGGAUCUGUUCAAAUAUAUAAUAACAAUAUAUGUUUUAGAAACAAUACCAAAAUCUUUAGAAUCAUAAGCAGGGUAAACAUUUGGAUCAACCAAAAAAACACAUGUUUAGUCCAAAAUCUGACAGAAGUGUUUGUGGCCUAACCUGUUUUAGUUUUUCUUCUGCCAGUUCUUCCCCUUCGAGGGUAAGGGAAAUCGCUUGAUCCCCCAAGAAUUUGACGCGCCAAUUGAGGUUUCGAGUCAGGCUCACCCAAAUCAUUGUAGACAUCGUAAUCAUAUAUUCUUUCCCAUUCCUUGCGCUCUCCAGUUCCAUCUCCUCUUAAAGUCUUCAAUUCUUCUUGUCUGUAGUACACUAAUGGAGCCGGUGUUUCACUUGGAAGGUAUGUCUACAUAAAUUUAAUCAUUCAAAAUAUCAAGUUUUAGGAAAUAGGCUUAAUAUUCAGCAAGCUAUAUAGUUAUUAUGAUAAAGUGGAUUUGUGAUUUGAGACAUCAGAAAGAGAUUGGGAGUUGCAAGUUCUCAACUCCCUCUACUCGCAUUUCUAAAAACUAAUUACUAAUAUUUGUCGUUAUAAUAGAAAUAACAAGCUACAUGUGUAAUAGAAUUUUUAUUCUUACCUUGUUGGCAAAGAAGAUGCGGUCGGUUUUGUACUUUUUAGAAUUGUAAAUCCAUGAGUUGCAGACAAAGUGGAUGGAUCCAUGGUUUGGAACAUCUUCAAGUGUCAAACUCACAAGGAAGAAUUCACCUUGCAUAAAAUUAUCGAUGUAAAAAGCUCCGGGAAUUCCCAUGUUACUGUCCCAUUCAAAAUGAAUACUGAAAGCAUUUUGUUUGUCUCCCAAUGUUGGUAUGGAGGUAAGAAGACCUUCCAGAAAUGUUUCCUUUCCCACUUUUCCUUUUCCAGCAGCUAUAUUAAAAAUGUCAAAUAUUAUUAGUUUCUCAAUUUCACUAAUCCAUGAUUUUCAAAGUUUAAUUUUAUUCUUUUACAGAUCCAUUUUUCUUUUUACAUGAUCAUCAUCCAUCUUGCCUGAGUUAUAUCGAAGGGAAAUAAUUUCAAUAUUUUAGUGGUAAUUGAUUGUACCUGAUCAUUUAUAACCAAUAUUCUACAUCAAAAUCUCCAUUGCACAUUUUUAAUUUAAUAAAAAAAACAAAAGGGAAAAUAAGGUAAAUCUUAAUGGAUUGAUGUAUCAAAAACUCUUCUUGAAUAAUAGGCUGGCUUGGUGGUGUGGUGGAAGAGUUAUGGAGUAAUUAAUGCAGUCUGAGUUCAAUUCUUACAUCUAGCAAAAACUAACAACCGACAUAAUACUCAUUCGAUAUUAUUUAUAAGAAAUAAUGAAUUUUUUGAUUUAUUGAAUAAUUAAUGUAUAUGAUAUAUAUUCUAGAUCGAAUACAUAAAUUAUUCAAUGAAUCUAAAAAAUUAAUUAUUUCUUAUAAAUAGGAUUGGAUGAAGUAAUAUUUAUUGCUUAAAAAAAUAAAACUCCUCAAUAUUUUGUUGUUAAAUCAGAGAUAUCCUCCACGUGCAAAUGUCUGUCACUUAUGUUAUGUCACACAAUGUUGGUAAAAGAGUCUAAGUAAAGAGAUCAUAGAAGUAUGAAAAGAAGCAAUUUUAAAUAGAAAAAGAUAGUAGAAUUUACAAUUUUAAAAAUCUAAUAAGACAGAAGUUCAAAUAUAAAGUAUAUAGAUGGGGAUGUCAAAUUUUAAAUAGCUUAUGGUACAAGAUUAAUUUAAAAAAUUUAAGUGAGCAUGUGCACCCAUCACGUAGAUCCAUACAUACCAAAUGACAAAGAUAAAGUCCAAAACAGUUGCCAAACGCCAAAUAUCACACUUAUUUGCAUUAUAUAUACUUCUUUUUUUACAAAACCAUUAGAUAUACUCCCUUUAAUAUACAUUGGAUAUAAGUUUUUAUAUAGUCAUUUUUUAUUCCAAUAGUACUAUUUUUUCCAUAUCAUUUUAUUACUUAAUCAAAUGUCCAAAUUAUUUUAAAUAGUUACUUAAAUAAUUUCAUAAUUUCUUUAUUUUAAUUAAGAAGAGACAACGAUGAAAUUUUUGUCUGUCAAGUAAGGAUAUAGUUUUGCAGUUAAUAAAAGAAUAUAAACACAAUUUUUUUCUUUUCAUAAAUUUCAUCAAAGAAGGUAAUCAAUCUUAUUCAGAAUCCGUCGAUCAGACACUAAAUGUGAUACCUCUCUCAAUCAAGAUUCUAAAAUCAUUCUCGUCCGUUAGAUCCAAUUACUUCCAUUGGUGUACACAUAAUUUAAAUAAGUUAUAUCAAUCAAUUAAUUAAAAUGCCUAUUUCUUGUAUGAAUUAAACAUAGUGAGAAAGGUCCUCGUGAACUAGCUCAAUUGAUAGAGACAUAUAAUAUAAUAUAUGCAGGGGUUGAAGUCCGAACCCUAAACAUCCGACUUCUCCAUAUUUAAAAUGUGUGAGCUCCCGUCACUGGGUUAAUUGACAAAAAGAAAAAUAGAGUGAGAAAGAGAAAUGAGUUAUUACCAUCAGCACUUGUAGCACUAAUCAACCUGAGAGCUAUAGAACGUCCCAAGAAGGAAGUGGCAGUAUCAAGUAUAUUGCCAGCAACAUCACCAACAAUACCAAAGGCACCACCAAUGAUACCAGUAGGGCUUUUAGCAGCAGUGAGGGCGUUGAUAUCCAAAGUAUUCUUUUGCAUCAACACCACAGUUCCCUUCAACUUUUGGCCUCUAUCAAAGAGACCUGUUACACCAGAAAACAUCUUUGAAUAUGCUUUAAAUGUAUUACACUAUAUAUGGUAAAUGAAAGAAAGGCUUGUGUCUUGUAACCAUAGGGGUGGUUAGUAUUUAUAGUAGUUGAUGAGAUUAGGAUCACAAUGUUAUAGUUCAAAUGAGGUGAUAUUUUUAUUCAACUACUCAUUUACAACAUGGUGGAAUGCAAUUGGUCACGUCUUAUGCUAAUUUUUUAUUAUGAGUGAUUAUCUCGUGGUAUAUAAAAUAAUAAUAUAUCCGAUUGCAAAAUUAUUUUGGUAGUUGUUAUAUGUGCCAGCCUUGGCAUUAUGUUCAAUAAUAAUGACUCUGUUUGCUCUAUUGUUAAUUAUUACUACUAUCUUACGUGUCUGCAUUGGUUUUCUCGAGUUUUCUCAUAUUUUUUAAAGUGGGAAAAUCUCUACCCUUAAAAUUCAUUUCUUUCUUAUUUUAAUUUCAAAAUCUCUCCUCUUUUUUUUUUUUUUUUUUUUUUCUUUUUCUUUUUCUUUCUCUCAUACUAUCAAAUCAAGAUUAGGAUUGGACUUGAGAUACAUUUGCUUAGUCACAAACAUAAAAAUGAGUCAUUUAACACACACAAUGUAAUAAAAAAAAUUGAUUUGGUGUUGUGGUCUAAUUUAACACUUACUAUAUAAGUAUUUCUCCAUCCAAAGAUGGAUCCAAAAAUCUAUUAGCAAUUUUAGUUCACGGCCUAAUUUAUUCUCUUGUUUGGGAGUCUUUUGUAACAAUUUUUGUUUUUUUAUUUUGGGUUGACGGCAAGACCUUUGUCUUUUGAUGUAACUAUACUCUUUUUCCUUGUUCUUUUGGCACUUUCUGUGCUGGAAUAGCAGAUAUUUUUCAAAUAUAAGCAAUCAACGUUUGUUCUAGGGCGCUCUAUAUAUGGAUAAUGUUAUCAGCCACGUUUUUGACAUUUGCAUCAAUUUUUUUCUUUAUAAAUGAUGAAUAAGACAUGUAUUACUAAUGAUGGUUGAUAUUCCAGCUAUCAUGGAAUCCAAGUCGCCAUAGUACAAUGUUUUUAAAAUCCCAGCUAUGUUGGCAACCCAAAACAUCGUGUGUCAAAUGCGCCACAUCUUAUAUAUUAUUAAUAAUAAAAAAUACAAAAACGAAAAAAGUUGAGUUAAACUCAACAAAGCUAAUUAAAAUGAUAGGUAUGCAUACCAAACCUAUCUAAAAAAACCACUGAUAAUAAAACUAGGACAUAUAUACCACCAUUGAAAAUCUCCAAUUAGUUUACAAAUAUCAACGAAAAAACUUCUCCUUUUCCUCUUGUGACAUAGAUGAUCUCCAGUAGGUUUCUGCGUUUUUCCUCUUCAGUUUCGUGUUUUGCUGCUUGCGUUGGGGGUGUGAAAAUUAAACACUGAUGACUUGUGAAAAAAAGAAGCAUAAAGGGCUGCUGGACUAAAGUCUGAUAAUUGUUGGUCCCUCUAUUAUUUUUGUUAUAUACACCCCUCUAUAAACGAUUAUUGUUAUAUACACCCUCGUAUAAAAAAAUUAGGUCCCUAAAGGCAUGGGCCCUAGGCUGCCGCACCCCAUCCUAUAUCUAUGGCUGGCCCUGAAUGUUAUCGUUGUAAUAGAAGUGGUUUAAUAUAUAAAAUGAAAGACAUAAGGUAAAUAGGGUAAUGUUGCAUUAAAAAUGGAUGUUGGUAAGGCAUGUGGCAUUGAUAGGUCAUUUGAAAGAAAUUUUGAUGAAGAUGAGGUUAUGUCAGUAGUGAAUGAACUAGAUAAUGAUGUGUAUUAAAAUGGUGGAUUAUUCCAUUAUUGUUAACAAUGAAAUCACAUGACCAAUCAUACUCGGACGAGGCCUUCAUCGGAGAGAUUCUUUGUCUCAUUGUUUAUUCUGUGUGCAGAAGGCCUAUGUGCUCUUAUUAAGUAUGUCGAGGCUAGUGGAGAGCUUCAUGGGGUCAAAAUUUGUCGAAACACUUUGAUUAUUACUCGAAUUUUAUUUGCAGAUGACUACUUUCUAUUUUUCAGGGAAGGUGAAGCGCCGAGACUCAAAAUAUGAAGCAAAUUUUGAGGUUGUACAGAGCAACGUCUGGAUAUUACAGCUUAAAUGCCCAACAAUCCCUUCAAAAUGCUUUUACAACAACCUUAGGGGGGUCAGGCGGUGUUAUGCACAAUGAAGUACAUCGGACUACCCUCUAUGAUUGGUAGAAGAAGGAAUGUUACGUUCAGCUUUCUCAAAGAUAUGACUGGAGCAACAAGUAUUUGUGAAAGGAAGAUAUAAUGAUAAAAACAUGUACUGCAAGCAAUACCAUCUUAUGGAAUUAGAAUUUUCUUACUUUCUACCAUGUUCUUUGAUGCCAACGAAAAGAUUAUUAACACGUACGUACUGGUGGGGUCAUGGUGGUUCCACAAUUAGAGGUAUUGACUGGUUAUCAAGGGACAUGCUUGUUGUCUACAAAUUUUUUGGAGGUUUGGGGUUUAAAUACUUGACGUCAUUCAACUAAGCAAUGUUAGGAAAACAAGAUCGGAAAUUCCACACACACUUGGACUGUUUGGUAUCAAGACUGUUCAAGGCGCUCUAUUUUCCUCAUGGAAGCUAUCUAGACCGAAAGUGAUGACAGAGCACUAUAUGACAUUUUGGGCUAUGUUUUUAGUACUUUUAUUUGCAUUUGAAGACAUAUAAGUUGAGAGAUAGAGGAGUUGUUAAUGGUUUGGGAAACAUAUUGUAUUGUUUUCAAUCGAGCCGUUGUUCUUGAUGCUUGACAGUUUAAGGAACCUCUAGGGUAUGUUUUUUAAACAUCGUUGUUCCUUGAUUGAGGAACCUCUAGAUAUUUCAUGAAGUGUAAUUCCUUUAGAUGACAAUUUAAGAGUCACACGGGAUGUUGCAGUCAAAAGAUGUGAUCAUGGCUUUCAUAAUUGAGUUAUGGAUAAAACGACAUCUGUAGGAAUAUUCUCUCUAUAGUAAACCACCGUUUAUGUAAUUUUUAGGUUUUAAUUAAUAGGUACUUUGCAUUAAUCCAACAAAGAGGGAAGAGGGAAGAGGGGAUUCAAGGAUUCCCUAAUCACCGUUAUACAUCUAAAUCACACAAACAUAAUCUUUCUUUGGAUAGGGAAAUUUAACCAUGCAAAUCUUUUUUUCAUCUCUUUUCUAUUUUCUUUCUAAUAAGUUUUGCUAAUUACCGAAAAACUUGCUACUUUAUUAAUUGUUAUGAUUUGGUGCACUUGCCAAUUUCGUCCUUCAGAAAGCUUGGACAUAAAUCAAAGCUUUAGUUGGAGAAGAAUAUUUACCGCUAAGAGAGUAGUACAAAAAGUUGCUCGGUGGAAGAUCAGAUCGGGUACAAAGUUUCAAUUUUUUAUGCUUUGUGGGUAAAAGAUGGGACAAGUAUUCUAGGAGAUGGUCAACCUCUCAAGGUAAUUCAACAGGCUAAAGUGCACAAUCUCGUUGAUCAAGAAUUUCCCGUAUAGAACAAUCAUAUUGUAAACCAGUGUUUUGAUCAACUUAUAAAUGAGCUCAUUCUGAGUACUCCUUUAAUUGAGUCUGUUAAAGAAAGAUAAAUUAAUUUUUAAAUCAAAGAAAAAUGAACAUUACUCGGUAAAAAUUGUGUACAAGAUUUAUACAUAAAAUAGUGCAGGCAACUCAUAUUUAUGUCAGUAAGGUCAUUGGCUGGAAUUUAGAAGUUAAAGGUGCAUCCCAAAGUGAAGGAUUUCAUUUGGCUGAUUUAUCAAGGUUGCUUACCGACGCGUGUAAGGCUGAAAGAUCGAAGUCUCCAUUGUCUGUCUAUUUGUAUGAUGUGCACCGGUAACUAUGGGGAUGCAAUGCAUAUAUUGUUUGAUUCUCCGUAAAUAGGAUAUGUAUAUAUUUUUCUCAAGUGCAUUAAUUUUAUCAUUCAUAGCUCCAGCCCAGUUUAUAUUUUUAAAUGUUUCUUCAAUAGAUGAUUUGAUUCUCACAUAAUCAACGGCAACAAUAAAACUUUGAUUGUGUGGAAAGUUGUUUAGUGGAGACAUAUUGAGAAAUAUGUAUGAUAUCUAUAUAUAGAGGGACAGAUCGAUAACAUUUGCAAUCAUCUACAACAGGCCAUGUUACCCAAGAACAAUCAUCAAUAAAAGAAACAAACCACCUUGCCCCAUAAAUAUUAGAAACAACAAGAAAUAUUAGAAACAGGGGCCGAUCGGCAGACAUCAAAAUGAAUAAGAUCAAAUGGUUCAACACUUUUACGAAGAUUCAACGAAAAAAGUGGUAUGUGUACGCUUAUAAAAUGGAUAUAUAUAUCACAUUUAAAAGACUAAAUCGAUUGCAUUAAAAAACAAAGAUGGAAACAUAAACUUCAUUAGUUGAAAAUGAGGAUGACAAAGACGUUUGUGCUGAAGCCAAAUUUGAGAGGCAGAAUAAGACUCUGACUAAGACUGAAGUGCAGAAGACAACACCUUCUGAUCAAUUCGUGCAUCAUACAAAUAAUAUAGCCCUCCUUGUUCCUAAGCAACUCCAAUCGUCUUUCCCAUUACAAGAUCCUCGAAAGCACAAUGUGAAUCAAAAAAUAUUACUGCACAAAUAUUAUCCUUUAUAAGCUUACGAACAUAGAUAAGGUUAUUCCAAAGACAAGGAACAUGAAGCAUAUCUUUCAACUUAAAAGGUUCAAGGUUAAUUUCUCCACAACCAUCUACACGAGUAUGAGAACCAUAUGCAGCCGCAAAAAAGAAUGUCAUAUGAAGAAAUUUACUUCAAAAAGGCCAAGAACCAAUGUCAUAUGAUCAAUAGCACUAUAGUCAAUAAUAUAAUCAACAUUUCAAGCAAAAACCACAUAUAACUAUUUUCAGUCACAUUGGCUGAUAACUACAAAAGAAUCUCCUCAAAAGAACAACAAAAAGAAGAGGCUUCAAAUAACAAAAAAUAGGCAACAAGGUAAAAACCGUAAGUCGCAACAACGUAAAAUCACCAAAUAAAAGUCAAACUGAAUCACAAAGGGUCCUCAAAGAUGCUGGUAGUCACAAACAAGCACAAAACAACCGCUAUCAAUCAGUUAGUGUCAAGAGUACCCACGUAAAAUAGUAUCUUGGUCUUGGAUCAAGAUUUUGACCCCUUAAACGAACCAAUUAUGUGAAGACUAUAAUUUCUAGGAAUAAAUGGUGUCGAAUGGUGGUUCACAAGGUGGCAUGUGCAUCGCACUUGAUGGAGCUUCACUUUAGAUUGGGCCUCUGCUCUCAACUUCUCAAGUUCUUCUUCAAAAAGUAUUUGAGAACAAAUUUUUAUAGCCCUUUCGUUUAAAAAAUCUUUUUAGUUUUGCCAUAUUAGUUGAUGUAUGAUUCUUUAACUGUAUUUACAUUGGAAAAACAAUUGGCAGUGGAAAUAAAAUCAUUAUGAUCUAUUAUUGCUUUUUCAAUGUUAUCAUUUUUUUGUCAUGCUAUAUUGCAUAUUUGCAUUGAGAGCUUUUUUGUCAUGAAAUAAAAUAUGAAGUUUGCAUUUUAUAUACAAAGUAAAUCACACAACAAAAUAGAAACAUAGUAACUUUUAUUGAUGAAAUACAUUAUAACAAUCAAACAUGAUAGUUUUUAUUGAUAAAACACAUUACAGAAUUAAAAACAAACGUACAUAAUAACAUAACAUGACGAUAUACAUAGGGGGCGAGGGAAUUGGAUUCCUCCUCCUCUUUUAUUAAUAGCGACAACGCAACAACCACGACGUUUUUUAGAUAGAGACACUGUUGGGAAUGCCUCUGCAAGUCAAUCCUUCCUCACUAGAAGGAUAAAGCAGAGUGUAAGGCAUCUUCACUGGUCCGUUACGAUUCCUCAGUGUCUCAUCAUUGUUCCUUUGAAUGAGUUUUUGCUCAAUUUCAGCCAACUUCUUUCCAAACCUCUUAAAGGACUCUUUUGGCUGUGAAUCAGAAGUCCAGAGAUCACCUUCAAUUCUCUCUCCAAGGUAUUGCUCAUCAGAAGCAUGCCUUGACAAGACUUCUAUAAUGGUCAAGUCAGUAAGAGUAUCAUUCUUGGGUGUUAUUGUCCUCAGAUAAGACUUCUGGUAGUCCUUAGCAAGCUCAUCAUACUCAGGGGAUCCCUGCUCAGGCAUGAAUCUUCUACUUUUAGUUGGUCGGUUAACGAUAUAUCCUCCAUACGGAUAUUGUCCAAAAUUAACUGCUGCAUGAAGUGCUGAAGC